UACGUAGGGGGCAAGCGUUGUCCGGAAUUAUUGGGCGUAAAGAGCGUGUAGGCGGUCCGGUAAGUCAGCUGUGAAAGUCAAGGGCUCAACCCUUGAAAGCCGGUUGAUACUGUCGGGCUAGAGUCCGGAAGAGGCGAGUGGAAUUCCCGGUGUAGCGGUGAAAUGCGCAGAUAUCGGGAGGAACACCAAUGGCGAAGGCAGCUCGCUGGGACGGUACUGACGCUGAGGAGCGAAAGCAUGGGUAGCGAACAGG
rnacentral:rRNA from 1 species